CAACUCUCAACAACGGAUAUCUUGGCUCUCAGAUCGAUGAAGAACGCAGCGAAAUGCGAUACGUAGUGUGAAUUGCAGAAAUACGUGAAUCAUCGAAUCUUUGAACGCAAAUUGCGCUCGAAGCUUCGGCCAAGAGCAUGUCUGCCUCAGCGUCGGGUU
rnacentral:rRNA from 1 species